AUACGGGGGGUGCAAGCGUUAAUCGGAAUUACUGGGCGUAAAGCGCUCGUAGGCGGCUUGUUAAGUCGGAUGUGAAAGCCCCGGGCUCAACCUGGGAACUGCAUUCGAUACUGGCAAGCUAGAGUAUAGUAGAGGCAAGUGGAAUUCCGGGUGUAGCGGUGAAAUGCGUAGAUAUCCGGAGGAACAUCAGUGGCGAAGGCGACUUGCUGGACUAAUACUGACGCUGAGGAGCGAAAGCGUGGGGAGCAAACGGGAUUAGAAACCCCUGUAGUCC
rnacentral:rRNA from 1 species